CGAAGGACCCGAGCGUUAUCCGGAUUUAUUGGGUUUAAAGGGUGCGUAGGCGUCCUGGAAAGUUACGGUUGAAAUCUCCUUGCUCAACAAGGAAACUGGCCGUAAAACUAUCAGGAUUGAGUACAUUUGAAGCGGGCGGAAUGUGUCAUGUAGCGGUGAAAUGCUUAGAUAUGACACAGAACACCAAUUGCGAAGGCAGCUCGCUAAACUGUAACUGACGCUGAGGCACGAAAGCGUGGGGAUCAAACAGGAUUAGAUACCCUGGUAGUCCACGCCCUAAACGAUGAUUACUCGAUGUGUGCGAUACACUGUACGCGUCUGAGCGAAAGCAUUAAGUAAUCCACCUGGGGAGUACGAUCGCAAGAUUG
rnacentral:rRNA from 1 species